rnacentral:misc_RNA from 1 species
CAAAAGGCAGGCAUGGCGUGGCAAACCAUCACGGCAUCUCUCUCUCUAGUCUCUACUUUUUCAUCAGUCAUCACCGCAACACAAACACGGCCUUCACAAGACGCAAAAGGGCACACACCUCUUUCUAGCUUCUAUACACACACCUCGAGCUCACAUACACUCCCAUCUCCCCCUCUAUCUGGAGAGAGAGAGAGAAAGAGACAUGGGGUCAUCUCUCUCCCCGUCAUCCGUCGCCGCGCUCACCACCGCAGCCCAUGGGCACCGCUACCACCUGUCCUCCUCCUCCUCCUCCGACUACUACGAAGACGACGGCUUCGAGUUCACGCCACUCCUACCCAGGCCGCGGCGCCGGCACAGCGCGCGCACGGAGCGUCCAAGAACCGUCGCCCAGGCUGCGGCCACGACGGCGGCCCAGCCGCAGCCUCCCCAGCUGCGCGCGCGCCGCGGAGCGCCAAGCGUCGUGGCCGCGACGCCGGCGGCGCCACCAACACCAAGGAAGCAGCAGGUGCGGUGGCACGACAUGGCGUUCGGGUCCGCGCGCGUGCCGGCGGCCAUGGACAUGGGCGAGAUCAGGAGGCGCCUGAGGGCGCGGCAGCUGGCUCUGGCCGGUGGCCCCGCCGGGAACGAGCGGCCGCCAUCCUCCGCCGCGGGGUGGGCGCCGUGGAGGCUCAUACGGUCGCUCAGCUGCAAGGGCCUCGAGCCCGUGGCGGCUGCCGCGGCGCCGGUGAGGCUGGUGUAGUGUAGGCACGUACGUACAGUCAGUACGGUCUGAGCCUACGAUCGACAGAGCGAUCGAGGUGGACGUAACGUACGACGUACGUACGGCAGGUGUUGGUGUUGGACUGUUGGUUAUGGAUCGAGGCUGUGCUGGUGCGGCCCGUGAAGGCCGAGAGUGCGGCGCCGGCCGGUGAACCGGCGCGUGCACGGCGGCGUGCGUGGCGUCACGCGAGUGGCGCCAAAUGUUGUUGGUGGAAGUUGAAAGGCACGAGCAAAGGCGGUGCCUAUUGUUAGUGUUCAGCUUCGUUUUUCGUCGUGUUUCUGGUUUCAAUAAACCUUUUCCCUCUUUCUUUCUGUUUGGGUGUUUAAUGUUGGGAGAUCAGCUGUGGCUAGGGCAUGCAUGUACAACUCUAAGGUUGUCUCUGUAUUUUUUCUCUAUAUAUGUCAUUUAUAGUUUUUUCUAAAAGGUAUAUCUUCUUUUUCUCCGGC